CCUUCGAUAGCACAGUUGGUAGAGCGGAGGACUGUAGAUCCUUAGGUCGCUGGUUCGAAUCCGGCUCGAAGGA
rnacentral:tRNA from 1 species